AACCUCUGCCUCCCAGGUUCAACCGGUUCUCCUGCCUCCGCCUCCUGAGUAGCUGGGAAUACAGGCAACAACUGGAAACAACCCAAGUGCCCGUCAGCUAGAGAAUGGAUAGACCCACGUGGUCUGUGCAUACAGUGGAGUGCUGCUCAGUUAUACAAAGGAAAGAAACUAUGGAUACAGGCCACAGGAGGGAUGAACUUCAAAACAUUACAGUAAGUGAAAGAAGUAAAACUCCACGAGGGAAGUUGGUGGGUAUGGACAUAUUUUGAACUGGCAGAAUUUUACUGUGUUCAUUGAGGUAUUAGGUAUUGAGUCCCUGUUGACCAGCUACUGUGCUAGGUACGGCCAUUAGAGAAAUGAGAAGCAGACGCCAUCUCCAUUGUGAUGAGACUCACCCGAUCAGCCGUUUCUGAUGAACACUCAGGGGGAAGGCAGCAUCCAGUUAUGAAUCUGAUAUUUAUGAGGCUGUGGCUGCUCCAACAUCAGAAUCCGCUACUGUAGAGCCUGGCAAGCUGGAUGUGGGAGCCACGGAGGGCCAUGACCUGCAGCACAUCAGCAGGCAAAAGAUGCCCACAGGUAAAAAAGCCUUGGGUUCCAUUGACUCUCUGGCACACCUCUGGCCACCUCAACCCCUUCCCAUCCCCUCAUCCCCAGAGACAUCCUCAGCUUCCAGCUCCAUCCUGCCCGUAGCCAGCUGUCCCAGGUCUGGGCAUGGGGGGCAAAGGUUGGCUCUGCCUCUUGUCUUAGACAUUGAGGCUUUUUUGAUCUAGUCUCUUCCUUUUCUCAAUGAAAAUUCAAAUAGCCCAGUUUUGGAGUCCCCAUCCCAUUCUCUAGCCUUGCUUAUCCAGCUGGUUUGGUACCUAAAUGAAGGAACCAGGUAAGGGCCAGAUUGUUUCUUUUCUCCCAUCCCUUUAGGUAGCUAAUAAUUGGGUAA